rnacentral:rRNA from 1 species
CCGUGAACCUUUACUACAGCGUUGCGCUGGACUUUGAGACUAUCUGUGUAGGAUAGGUGGGAGGCUAUGAAAUUUAAACUCUAUUUUGCAUUGAUCCAUCCUUGAAAUACCACCCUUUUAUUCUUUAUUUUCUAACCUAUUCCCUUUAACCGUUUUUUUUACAUCUUAUUUUUUUUAUUUUUACUUUUUCUUUCUCCUCCUAAAUAUUAACUUAUUAUUACUAAUUUUUUCUAAUCAUUUUCUUACAUCAUUCUUUUCUUCUCCCUUCCCCCUCCCUCUUUCCUUCUCUCCUUCCCUUUCUCUCCUUUCCUCCCUUCUUUCUUCAUCAUCCUCUUUUUCUUUCUUUCCUCGCCCUCCCUCUCCCGCACCCCCGGACGUACGGGGAUAACAGCCUGAUACCACCCAAGAGUUCAUAUCGACGGUGGUGUUUGGCACCUCGAUGUCGGCUCAUCUCAUCCUGGGGCUGUAGCAGGUCCCAAGGGCAUGGCUGUUCGCCA